UACAGAGGUCUCAAGCGUUGUUCGGAUUCAUUGGGCGUAAAGGGUGUGUAGGUGGCGCGCUAAGUCGGGUGUGAAAUUUUGGAGCUUAACUCCGAAACUGCAUUCGAUACUGGCGUGCUUGAGGACUGGAGAGGAGACUGGAAUUCAUGGUGUAGCAGUGAAAAUGCGUAGAGAUCAUGAGGAAGACCAGUGGCGAAGGCGGGUCUCUGGACAGUUCCUGACACUGAGACACGAAGGCCAGGGGAGCAAACGGG
rnacentral:rRNA from 1 species